rnacentral:tRNA from 2 species
GCUCAGGUGGCGGAAUUGGUAGACGCGCUGGACUCAAAAUCCAGUGUCCUCAACAGACGUGCGGGUUCGAUUCCCGCUCUGAGUACUA